AGUGUGGCUGAGAUCAAUCUACGCGCAACAUCAAUCAAUCAUGAGGUUCCUGCUGAAAGUGUUCCUUUUUGCACUCAUCGCUCUGAUGGGAUUGGUUUCUGCCCAAGAUGAAGCAAAAAUUAGAGAUUAUGAGAGACAGUGCCUAGAGCACAAUCUACCGAAGAAUUGCUGGCAGACAGCGAAACCACCAUUGCGGUAAGCCAGUACUGCAACAAUCACCAAGAAGGGUUGCUGAUGGUAGUAGUGAGCUGAUAAGUUGACUGAAAUAAAAGUUUUGUUUUAAGUCGAUGGAAAAGUAAAAUAA